UCCCUGGUGGUCUAGUGGUUAAGACUCUGUGCUUCCAACACAGGGGGCAUGGGUUUGAUCCCAGGGGAA
rnacentral:tRNA from 1 species